UGGUUCUGCUGUGCUGGGAGGAAGUUAUCGGCGGCUCCGUAGGGCAGCUGUGUGCCUGCUUCUCCGUUUUCCCCGAUCCUUCUCUCCGCCGCGUGAAGCCCAGAGGAGCUGGCUAUUGAAAAUCAAAUAUUCGGUGUAACAAAACAGACUGAUCAAAUUAGAUGAGCCUACAUCUCCCUCUCUCUCCCACGCUUCACUCUUGAGAAGUUGGACUUGUGAUUAGCGCCGAUCAGUCUCUGAGUGAAGGCACUCAGCGGAAAUGUGAGCUGCAGCACAGUGCUAAACGAGAGGAAACUGAACAGAUUCUCUAGUGAAGAGAUGAGUGUAGAUUUCUGAAGUGGGGAGAGGAAAUUGGGAUGAAUAAAACAUGAGAAUGGAUUCUCAGCCCCCAGCUGAAAUUGUUGCACUGCGUAAAGGCACUUGAAUGAUGCCUGGAGUUCACUGCCAAGCAUUUUCCUGCUGGGCAGAGCAAGGCUGAGGACAUGGGUGCUAUGCCUCACCCUCUCUCCUGUGCCCAGGCACACACGUGAGGGUGAUGGGGUGUGAUGCAGAGCAUAUGGUGUGGUGCUGGAGCUCCAGCUGUUCUCCAGUGAGAGCAUCCCAGAAGCUCCCAGCACAGGAAUAUAUACUCCGAUUACUAAUACAUGUUGUUGUACUGCCAAGACCUACCUGCUCUCAAUCUCCACGGUGGCAAGGUUAAGUUGAUGUAAAUGUUUUGGCCCAUACCACGUUCCUUCACCUUCUUCCUCUAACAUAUUUAGUCACCUUUCUGCAAAAAAGGGUACACAAACAUAGUUGUAUUUUACUGAGGGGAAUGUCAUGAAAUCAGCACUUAUUGAAUAUAUAUAUAACAAAGAUGUUAUAUCCACUUGGACACCCCAUGUAUUUACUAGAGGAAAAUAAGAAGUAAAAAAAAAAGAAGGAAGAAUUCAUUAUUCAGCAAAUAAUGAAUAUAGGUGUCAUUAUUCACUGCCUGGUGCAUAAACCAUCUCACAGUCCUGAGCAAAAAGGGUACAAAGGUGUUUACAGAGAUGAUACUACUAAUAAAUGGCACUUCUAAA